rnacentral:lncRNA from 1 species
CCGGGGUGCUGUGUCUUAGGGUUUCCAGAAAUCCUCACUUAGUGGGGAACUUCUACAAUCCAACCACAGGGCAGAAGGUAAGGAGGUGGCAGGCAGGUGGAUGGAGGGUUGUGUCUCUGUGAACCCCUUUACGUCUGGGGACCAGAUGAUGCCUGGUGCUCAAGAGAGCUGCCCUGGACCCACUUCUCCAAGGGGAAAGUGAAGUGGACUCUCACCUGCAGACUGGAAACCUCUGGGCAUGGAGAUUUCUGAGCCCCAGGGGCUGGGGUGAUAAAGAGGACAAGAUGGCAAUUGGGUGGCAACUGUGAUGGUCUGUGGCAUGCGCAAGGCACUUUCCAGUUGGUGAGCCGCUUUUACACUGCAUUAUUUCACACACUUGGUAACAGCUACUCUGAGAUACUGGUGGAGGUGUCCCCAUGUCUGAGUCUCAGAGAGGAGAGAGAACUCCAUGGCCACACAGUAAGUUACUAGAAGAGCUGGACCCGGAACCCAAGGGGGUGCCAGCACCCAGCCCCAGUGCCUUGCACUUGGCUGCACUGCACGAGCUUGGAACGAGGCCACCGGGUGCAGGGCCUAGCUCUGCCCCUGAUGAGCCCCGAGUUACUGGGGGGCAGCCAGGCCCUCCAUCUUCCCACCUGGAAAGCUGAGAAUGAAUCCCCAGGGGUGUUUUCAAGCAGCGGCUUGUGGCCACCGUCAGGGCUGGGGAGUGGUGUUUGCUGGAAGUCCUCGGAAUGCCAGCGCAAGGACGAAGGGUGGCCCAGCCGCUUCCCUUCUCGUUUGGCCAGCCGCGGUCUCUCUCCAGCCUCGCUCUGUGACUCUUAAAUCCGGGCUCCGGGUCUUCGUUCGCGCCUCGUCACUCUGGAGACGCUGCGAGCCGCUUGCGGUUGCCGUAGGAACCUCGCCAGGGCCUCCGCUCGGCGCACGACUCCAAGCGCUGAGAGCCGCGUUUCGGUCACCGAGAGACACCUGUCGCCAGCGGCGAGGGACAUACUCAAAACUCGUGUUACCACCACCGUGA